rnacentral:rRNA from 1 species
GACGAACGCUGGCGGCGUGCUUAACACAUGCAAGUCGAACGAAGUGGCGAACGGGUGAGUAACGCGUAAUCAACCUGCCCUUCAGAGGGGGACAACAGUUGGAAACGACUGCUAAUACCGCAUACGGAAGAAGGGGAUUGCGUAUGAUUAGCUAGUUGGAGGGGUAACGGCCCACCAAGGCGAUGAUCAGUAGCCGGUCUUAGAGGAUGUACGGCCACAUUUGGACUGAGACACGGCCCAGACUCCUACGGGAGGCAGCAGUGGGGAAUCUUCCGCAAUUGACGAAAGUCUGACGGAGCAACGCCGCGUGAGUGAUGACGGCCUUCGGGUUGUAAAGCUCUGUUAAUCGGGACGCGUUACCGGAAUAGAAAGCCACGGCUAACUACGUGCCAGCAGCCGCGGUAAUUC